GUCUGUACGUUUCCAUUUGAGUAUCCUGAAAACGGGCUUUUCAGCAUGGUACGUACAUAUUAAAUAGUAGGAGUGCAUAGUGGCCCGUAUAGCAGGCAUUAACAUUCCUGAU
rfam:Enterobacter aerogenes KCTC 2190, complete genome.